rnacentral:rRNA from 1 species
GACGAACGCUGGCGGCGUGCUUAACACAUGCAAGUCGAACGGAAAGGCCCUGCUUGCAGGGUACUCGAGUGGCGAACGGGUGAGUAACACGUGGGUGAUCUGCCCUGCACUUCGGGAUAAGCUUGGGAAACUGGGUCUAAUACCGGAUAGGACCGCACUUUAGUGUGUGUGGUGGAAAGUUUUUUCGGUGUAGGAUGAGCUCGCGGCCUAUCAGCUUGUUGGUGGGGUAAUGGCCUACCAAGGCGGCGACGGGUAGCCGGCCUGAGAGGGUGUACGGCCACAGUGGGACUGAGAUACGGCCCAGACUCCUACGGGAGGCAGCAGUGGGGAAUAUUGCACAAUGGGCGCAAGCCUGAUGCAGCGACGCCGCGUGGGGGAUGAAGGCCUUCGGGUUGUAAACUCCUUUCGCUAGGGACGAAGCUUUUUGUGACGGUACCUAGAUAAGAAGCACCGGCUAACUACGUG